rnacentral:lncRNA from 1 species
ACAUGGCGAUGGUGGGGACUCCAAGGCCCCAUCCCCACCCAAUGUUAUCUUGAAUGUAAACAAGCACUGUGACAGCCACAAGUAUUGAUACCCCCAUCACAAAGUAGUACCAAUUGAAGUAUUUCCAUGUCUUCGUUGCUUCCUUUGGGUUGCUUUCGUCGAACUGGUCUGCCCCGAAAGCAACCACACAAGGCCGGAUUCCUCCUGAUCCCAAAGCCCCAAGUAAGAGAGAUCCGUAUAGGAUUGCCAACUGCCCUGCCGUUGCUUGUUGGCAGACUUGCUCACCUUUACACGGUGGUGGCCUAAGUUGUGGAAGUAUUGCUGAUAGUGUUAAACAUGUC